rnacentral:rRNA from 1 species
UACGUAGGGGCCUAGCGUUGUCCGGAAUUAUUGGGCGUAAAGAGCUCGUAGGCGGUUCGGCAAGUCGGAUGUGAAAUCUCCACGCUUAACGUGGAGGGGCCAUUCGAAACUGCUGUGACUCGAGUCCGGUAGGGGAGUGUGGAAUUCCCGGUGUAGCGGUGAAAUGCGCAGAUAUCGUAAGGAAGACCAGUGGCGAAGGCGGGUCUCUGGACAGUUCCUGACGCUGAGGCACGAAGGCCAGGGGAGCAAACGGG